AACAGGCAUGCGGAGAAAACUGAGAGGGAGCCUGACUUCUGAAGGAGCCUUACAAAAAAAUGCAAGUUGCAAAGUCUAUGGCAGCAGCUCUUUUAGGAGGCAUCAGCCUCAGGAGCAGCAACAGGACUGAGCAAGGCCAGGAUGUAGAGAAGUGCACUACCACGCCCCCUACUUGUUGCUGAAGAUCAAACUCCGGCUUCAGGCAAGACCAGACUUUCAACAGUUCCUGCUGACUUCUGAGUGAAUUCAGACAAUGGGAGUCCCAAGAGGAGACCAGAGAGAGAAGGAGAAUGAAGAUGGGACAUCUUUUCCCUGGCUCCUUCCUUGAAAGCUGGCUGUGACCCCUGAGGAAGU